rnacentral:lncRNA from 1 species
GGUUACUCUCCCAUCUGUCUUGGUUUAAUGUAUUCUGGUUCUCUGUGUUGGGUUGUGUUUUGUAGCACUUGAGGAUCUUUGAUUUUGGUUUUGUGACUGUUGCAUUGGCCCUUGAGAUUUGUUGUCUUUUGUGUGGCUGGUUGGAUUAAGUUUACUCCUGUACUGGUGUGGACAUGGUUGUAGCUCUUUUAUGAGAGUUUUUAUGGUCGGGUGCAUGUGUAAUCUUUGAAACGGAUUGGGUCUGCAUUGUAUAGGUCUUCCCGCCCUGCGGAUGCCCAAGAUCGUAUGCUCGGCUGAGAAGAAGGAAUCGCAGACGGAGGAGCUCUCUGGCUUCCCCCAGCUCGCUGCUGCUGUGACGUCCGCGGCCACCCUCGCCUACGCACACCCAGUGUUUGCUCUUGUGGAUGAGAGGUUGAGCACGGAAGGGACAGGUUUGGGUCUUGGUAUCAGCAACACCAAGCUGACAUGGAUCUUGGUUGGCGUGACCGCCCUCAUCUGGGCAUUGUACUUCUCGUACUCCUCGACGUUGCCAGAGGGUGACGAUGACUCGGGUUUGGACUUGUAAACGAAGGAGCAGUGGCG